rnacentral:rRNA from 1 species
CCUACGGGAGGCAGCAGUGGGGAAUAUUGCGCAAUGGGCGAAAGCCUGACGCAGCGACGCCGCGUGAGGGAUGAAGGUCUUCGGAUCGUAAACCUCUGUCAGCAGGGAAGAACGGUCACUGUGCUAAUCAGCCGUGAAUUGACGGUACCUGCACAGGAAGCACGGGCUAACUCCGUGCCAGCAGCCGCGGUAAUACGGAGGGUGCGAGCGUUAAACGGAAUUACUGGGCGUAAGGCGCUCGUAGGCGGUAUGUCAAGUCAAGGGUGAAAUUCCCGGGCUCAACGUGGAAACUGCCUUUGAAACGGGCAAACGGGAGGGUGUGAGAGGAUAGGGGAA